GAAGUUAUGGAGUUUUAUUUUCUCUUUUUUGAGACUAACUGGGAUGCAUACAUUUUUACACAUGAGUAAUACGGAAUGUUACAGUAUAAGUGUAUAUUAAAAAUAAAUUAGAACAUGAUACAAAAGUCUGAGGUCCAUAUUCAUUCAUACGAGACUUAUUCUCAAAUAAACAUGAAAAUAUUUUGUUUCCCUUCUCUUAGAUGACUGACAACUACACAAAAAGACCACAACAUUUGAUGACUAUGGAAGGAAUAAGGAAGAGGAACAAAAGAGAGAAAAAGCUGAAAUAGGCUUUGAAAUAUGUUUGUGUUCUAGGGGAAGCAAAUUACUUCCAAAAUAUGGAAAUGAAGACACAGGGGCAGGAAAGUAGUGCAAAGAGAAGGCAUUUUUCCCUGACCUCAUUUGGAUAUCAAGGACAACUCCUAUAUCCUUAGGGAACAGAUAAGUAGUGCAAGGACAACAGCACGUGGUGGACAGUGAAAGCAAGUUCCCAGCAAUAUCAAGUCACUUGGGAAACAUGAUGCAGCCAGUGGUGAAGCCCUUGUGUAAUUUACAGUUUCUUUGCUGUCUGGGAUGAGUAGGGUAUGUUGUGGGGUGUGAUAACAGAGUCAUUUCAGGAACACCUGCAGAGAUGUAAGAAGUGACCCUGUCUGUGCUCUUUAGCCACUCAAAAUGAAGUUACCUCCUCCUUCACAAAAAAGGUCUCUAAUCCAAUUCACUGUAAAGUCAUCUGGGUUAUGACUUACCCUUGCUCAUGAUCUACCUGCUAUUACUGUGAAUUGGAAUGGGAGUGUGUGUGUGAUUCUUUGCAGUGUCUUGCAAUCUCCAGCCUGGUAAUGUCUUAAACCAUUCUAUCUAGACCCAGAAAAGCUCCAUUACU
rnacentral:lncRNA from 1 species